rnacentral:rRNA from 1 species
AGUGAACGCUGGCGGUAGGCCUAACACAUGCAAGUCGAACGGCAGCACAGUAAGAGCUUGCUCUUACGGGUGGCGAGUGGCGGACGGGUGAGGAAUACAUCGGAAUCUACUUUUUCGUGGGGGAUAACGUAGGGAAACUUACGCUAAUACCGCAUACGACCUACGGGUGAAAGCAGGGGAUCUUCGGACCUUGCGCGAUUGAAUGAGCCGAUGUCGGAUUAGCUAGUUGGCGGGGUAAAGGCCCAUCAAGGCGAGGAUCCGUAGCUGGUCUGAGAGGAUGAUCAGCCACACUGGAACUGAGACACGGUCCAGACUCCUACGGGAGGCAGCAGUGGGGAAUAUUGGACAAUGGGCGCAAGCCUGAUCCAGCCAUACCGCGUGGGUGAAGAAGGCCUUCGGGUUGUAAAGCCCUUUUGUUGGGAAAGAAAAGCAGCAGGUUAAUACCCCGCUGUUCUGACGGUACCCAAAGAAUAAGCACCGGCUAACGUCGUG